rnacentral:rRNA from 1 species
AGUGAACGCUGGCGGUAGGCCUAACACAUGCAAGUCGAACGGCAGCACAGGAGAGCUUGCUCUCUGGGUGGCGAGUGGCGGACGGGUGAGGAAUACAUCGGAAUCUACCUUUUCGUGGGGGAUAACGUAGGGAAACUUACGCUAAUACCGCAUACGACCUACGGGUGAAAGCGGGGGACCGCAAGGCCUCACGCGAUUAGAUGAGCCGAUGUCCGAUUAGCUAGUUGGCGGGGUAAUGGCGCACCAAGGCGACGAUCGGUAGCUGGUCUGAGAGGAUGAUCAGCCACACGGGAACUGAGACACGGUCCAGACUCCUACGGGAGGAAGCAGUGGGGAAUAUUGGACAAUGGGCGCAAGCCUGAUCCAGCCAUACCGCGUGGGUGAAGAAGGCCUUCGGGUUGUAAAGCCCUUUUGUUGGGAAAGAAAUCCUGUCGAUUAAUACUCGGUGGGGAUGACGGUACCCAAAGAAUAAGCACCGGCUAACUUCGUGCCAGCCGCCGCCGUAAUAC